AUUGAACGCUGGCGGCAGGCUUAACACAUGCAAGUCGAACGAGUGGCGGACGGGGGGUUAAUGUUGGGGAAUCUGGCUAAUGGGGGGGGAAACCUCCGGGAACCGUUGGCUAAUACCGCUAGCCAUGGGAUGAGCCCAAGUGGGAUUAGGUAGUUGGUGAGGUAAAGGCUCACCAAGCCGACGAUCUCUAGCUGGUCUGAGAGGAUGACCAGCCACACUGGGACUGAGACACGGCCCAGACUCCUACGGGAGGCAGCAGUGGGGAAUAUUGCGCAAUGGGGGCAACCUGACGCAGCCAUGCCGCGUGAAUGAAGAAGGCCUUCGGGUUGUAAAGUUCUUUCGGUAGCGAGGCGUUAACUACAGAAGAAGCACCGGCUAACUCCGUGCCAGCCGCCGCGGUAAUUC
rnacentral:rRNA from 1 species